UUUUUGGGUAAAUAGUACCCCGUGAAUAGUAACUCGUGAAUAGUAAUUCUUGAAUAGUAACUCAUGAAUAGUACCUCAUGAAUAGUAACUCGUGAAUAGUACCUCAUGAAUAGUAUCUCGUAUAUAGUACUCUGUAUUCGUACAUAGUACCGUAUACAUAAAUAAUAUCAUAUACACAAAUAGUGUCAUAUACAUGAAUAGUGUCGUAUACAUGAAUAGUGUCGUAUACGUGAAUAGUAACCCUGACACAAAAAGAUAAAGUUUCACAAUAAAAUUCAUAUCAAUAUUUAUAACACCUUAAUCCAAAUGUUAUAAAUCACUUAGUAAUCUCAUAAUCUAAU
rnacentral:lncRNA from 1 species